rnacentral:tRNA from 1 species
GGGCCCGUGGUCUAUCGGAAAGACGAUUCCCUUACACGGAAUACAUUGGCGGUUCGACUCCGCCCGGGCCCA